rnacentral:tRNA from 2 species
UUAACUGAAGCUAAAUAGAAGCUAUUCACUGUUAAUGAAAAAAUUGAUUAUAUCCAGUUAAA